UACGAAGGGGGCAAGCGUUGUUCGGAAUUACUGGGCGUAAAGGGCGCGUAGGCGGCUUAUCAAGUCAGGCGUGAAAUUCCCGGGCUCAACCUGGGGGCUGCGCUUGAUACUGAUGAGCUUGAAUGCGGGAGAGGAUAGUGGAAUUCCCGGUGUAGAGGUGAAAUUCGUAGAUAUCGGGAGGAACACCAGUGGCGAAGGCGGCGAUCUGGG
rnacentral:rRNA from 1 species